rnacentral:rRNA from 1 species
ACUCCUGCGGGAGGCAGCAGUGGGGAAUUUUGGACAAUGGGCGCAAGCCUGAUCCAGCCAUGCCGCGUGCGGGAAGAAGGCCUUCGGGUUGUAAACCGCUUUUGUCAGGGAAGAAAAGGUUCUGGCUAAUACCUGGGACUCAUGACGGUACCUGAAGAAUAAGCACCGGCUAACUACGUGCCAGCAGCCGCGGUAAUACGUAGGGUGCAAGCGUUAAUCGGAAUUACUGGGCGUAAAGCGUGCGCAGGCGGUUAUGCAAGACAGAGGUGAAAUCCCCGGGCUCAACCUGGGAACUGCCUUUGUGACUGCAUGGCUAGAGUACGGUAGAGGGGGAUGGAAUUCCGCGUGUAGCAGUGAAAUGCGUAGAUAUGCGGAGGAACACCGAUGGCGAAGGCAAUCCCCUGGACCUGUACUGACGCUCAUGCACGAAAGCGUGGGGAGCAAACAGGAUUAGAUACCCGUGUAGUCCCAUG